CGCCCUCCUUCUUUCCUUCCUUCCCUCAGAUUCGGCUGCUUCCUAGCAGGUGGGGCCUCCAGAGACCUGCUCCUUUCUCCACCCCCUCAGCUGCCCGGAGCGGGUUCAAGGGAUCACCUCCCCGGAGACCUCCUGGUGGCAAAGGAGGCGGGUGGGCAGAGGCGAGAAUGGGGCUUUUUCCUCAGAUGGCCUUAUCAGGAGCCUCCCUCCGUCCCCUCAGGAAGAGGAGGUGAGGGAAAGGCUCCUGCCCGCGUCCCACCUCGCUGCUCCUUUCAGAGCACCUCCGAGGCAGGGAUGAUAAGAAAAUGGCACAGACUUGAAAGCCUCCUGCCAAAAUGGCACUGAAAAUCCUUAGAAUGCCAUUUGAAAGUGACUUUGAACAACAAUUAGAAAGUGGUAUUGAAGAUAAUGAUGCAACUCACUGAAGAAGAUGCCCGUUUGCAUGAGGGACACAGAGAACGGAGGAUGAAAACCCGGG